CAGAGAGACCUUAGACUUCAAGGAGAACCACUGAACGGGCCAGACCAAAGCAACACCGUGCCACCGCCUUCUUUUAGCAUUGCAAUUAACCCAGAAACAGAGCAUCACCACCUUCUACAUUCCUCCCUCCAUUCCCCACUCUUCUCUUACAUUAUUUUUACAAAAACUAUGGCUGUUGGGAACGUUCCCAACUAGGGGUGAGAUCCAUCUGGGGUUGCAGAAUUAAAGCAAGAAAGGAGUUGCAGGUAAAUGACUUUGAUUGUGAGGGUGUUGAUCUUUGUUGGUAUGGAAAUCUUUGUAUUAUACAGUGGUUUUUAUCAUGCAGAUAGCAUAUUCUAUGAUAGAGGAGCAGGAAUGAAGGACAAGAUCAGCAAAUGAGAGAUGGUUACACAUCUUUUGCUGGCCUCCUUGUGAAUUCAUGUUAUUGUGGUAUUACUAUUACAUAAUCUCUUCAGUAAUAUCUUUUAUUGGCUUCUUCAUAUUUCUGACUCAGAAUGUGCUUUUUAGAAGAGUUAAGCUUAGUUGUUUGGAGAAAAAUAAAGGAUCAAUGCUACAAAUGGUGAUUUGUCUUUCUUUAGCAAUAUUCAAAUACCUACAUUCCUUUUCCUUGUUUCUAUGUUUAUAUUUUAAGAUUUUUGAAUUUUGAUUUCUUCACUGGAAAUUUGGGUUUAACACCAUCCAGGGUCAGUAUUUAUGUUUAUGAUCAAUAGGAUAGACAAACUGUAUCCAUCUCAAGAUGAUAAAUAAGAUAUAGAACUAAAUGAAAAAAUAUCCCAUUUUACACAAUAAUCUCAAUGUCUCAUAAAUCAUUUUUGAAACUUCUCCUUGGAUUGUGAUGCUUAGUGACCAGAGAUUUGGGGACUAACUAAAAUCCUGGAUGUAUGCUUAGUGACCAGAGAUUUGGGGACUAACUAAAAUCCUGGAUGUUACUAUCUGUCAUCGUUUUCAGAAAGACAUUAAUUUUAAACUUUGUCUGUGGUGGACGAAUAACUAAAUUUCCAUAAUCUUGAGGAAGUCCCUUCAACAGUUCAACUAUCAGGUUCUUUCAUUUAUGGAAUUAUGUCUGGUUGACUAUGGAUUUGAUUUUGUGUUUUUGGAUUUGAUGUUUAGCAUCUUUUAUGUGUGCAUUCAGCUGGGGUAAUAUUUGAAUGGUCAUUUAUAAUUUCAUGAUCUCAUUGAAUGCUUACAUAGGCUUCUUUUUGAGUGGUAAGGUUUCUAACCACCUUCCUAAUUUACUAAUGAUUGGGUGGUUGAAUGCAUUGUAUAUGCUCUCUUUUUACCUUUUAGUGGUUUGUAUGGUCGUACACAAAUUCUUUGCUUGAUUAGUUUGUCUUUGUCAUUGGAUCAUUCUAUAGCAAGGGAAUGGUGUUAUUCUUCUUCUGGCGUCCUUCAGAACAUGGAAAAAUUGGUUAAUAUUCUCACUAGGCAUUUCUGUAGAUUGCAGAUUAUGUUGCAACUCCAGUUGUUGGAUAGGAUGAUAUUAUGUAGUAUGCACAGAAUGCCUGGAUCAUUUAUUUUUCAUAAAGGAGCUUUUUCUUUAUUGUUGUUUGAGAAAUUCCUUCUUAAAAUGCCAGGUUAGCCAGACACCAGUGGCUGCCUGGAUCUUUAUUGCCUUGUUGCCUUUUGAGGUUGAGACAAAGACAUGGAUGGCUUAUAGAGAUUAUAUCAUAUAUUCCCAUCUGAUGCUGUAAUGAUCAUCAACUUCUAAAAAGUUUAAUAUUCACUCCAUCUCAUUAAUGCACAUUCUAGAGACAUUUUUUAUUGUGUUGGCUUUGACACAACCAAACAAGAAAAAGGUGUUUGAAAAUCCUCUAUUUGUGUGAUGGAAAGCUCCAAAAUAGAAGCUCUAGCCUUGUAUAACUAUUUGAAUUGAAAGAAAAUUUUGAAGCUUUAAAAAGCUAAUCUUAUUUUAACUGUUACUGAGAACAUCAUUUGUCCAGAUUCUGCUUGUGUGGUGGAAUAGUUGACGAAUUGGCAUGCUUUCCCCGUCCAUGAACCAUGAUACCAUACAAAAAAGUCAUAUUAUUUCCUAAUAUUUCUUUUGAUUUCCAUGCCUCUUAAUGCAUACAGUAUUGCUUUUGUUUCAAUUUUGAUGAUGUGAUUGCAGGUAUUAUCAUAUUUUGACUUCUUGAGAAGCAAGUGUGUCCUCAGAGAGGUGCACUUGAACAAUCAUUUUCUUUUUCUGGAAGCCACGGUUAUGUUGCAACUAAGAAUACGAAUUCUUUGUCUGAAAUACUUGAUAUUGUUUAGAACGGAUAUGGUUGAGUCUGUUCUUGGGAUAUAAUAUGAGAACUGCUUUUAUAUUUUCUUCUAUACAAACUGAUUAAUUUGCUAUAACAUAGAUUCUCUGCCAUUAUUUGCACAGUUAGGGAUUUCUUAACUUUUGGCUAUUAUCAAUUGUGAAAAGGAUAAACUUUCGAGCUAUGUUUUGUAGGGAAGGAAGGGUAAAUGCCCUACUAAGUUGAAAAUGUAGUGGGUAAAGAGGGGAUUUAAGGAUGUAUAGUGGCUGUGUGGCUCACUGUACAUCCUUAAUAGAAGAGUUAGAAGUUGUUUACUUUGAUGUAUAGUGGUUCCCAAGCAUGGGUUUUUUAAUUAAUAAAUAAUUAAUUAAAAGGACUUGGUGUAAGUAGUAAGAAAUGAUUUAAGCACCCAUAAUUUGAUGAUGGAUAUGGCACUGAACAGAAUGGAAUGGUAAAACAGGAUUCACCUAGCCAACUCCUUAUAGUUGGGACAAGGCUUGGAUGAUGAUGAAAUUAUUAAAAAAUAAAUGAAUAAAUAAAUAUCUAUGAUAAAUAUCCCAAAAAUAGGAAAACUAUGAGAAACUAGAAAAUUCCAUAUUUGCAUUUUCUAAUGAUAGAAUCAUCACAUUUAAAUAUAAAAUUGAAGAACUCAUCACAUGAAGUAUCAUAAUCCGUAAUUACACAAUUAUCAUCAGCUAUCAAUGCAUCACGGGAAAAGUUGCAAAUCAAAAUUUCAGAACUAAUGGUUCACUUAAAUUUUAUGAUAUUAAGUUGUUAACAUAAACAAGUAUGUCACCUCAUUUUCAAAUGAAUGUAAAGCAUUGAAAGCCACGGUUCCCAUACUUCUAUUUAUAGUAUUUUAUCAUAAUUGUUAUAAUAAACAAGUUCUGAGGUUUUUUCCUUCUUUGUAUCAUGUUAAUAUCUAAUAGGCUACAUAAUGAAAUGGUUCCCCCCACUUCUAUUUGUAAUAUUUAUUCAUAAAAAUUUAUAAUAUAUUAUUAUAGAAAUUGCCUUAAAAAGGUAAAAACAUGCAUGGUGUAUGCCUUUCUAAGUUCCUCUCCUGUACACCUCUCCAAGCACACACCUCCUGUGCCCUUUAAAACACUGAUACAAAUUGGUAUUUCUGAAAUGGAAGGGAUUACUCAUUUUCGUCCUGGAUAAGAUUCUAAAGCAUGUGUCUGGAAAUUCAGGCAGGAAUACAGGACUAAUAUCUGUAUGUUGUUAAAAGUCAGAAUAGCCGGAUCAGAUAUUUUCAAUUUGAUUCAGGAUUUAGUACCAAAGAUACAACAACUAGAGUAUGUUUGCAAGAAUAUUAAUAUUAGUUCUAAGUUUUAAUAUAAUUUUAUUUACAUUGUUUUCUUUUAUUAAGGGGCCAUUGCUUGGUGCAAUGGAAAAAUCUUGAACAUGGGUUCGAGUCUGAUAGUAGCCACUUUGUGCCCAAAAGAGAAAAAAAGAAAUAAAGGUGAAAGGUUAGGUCUGUAUACCAGCCUAUCCCUCCCAACAUUCCAGAUAUAUAGGACCAACAUUGGGUAAUGACCUUUUAUGUUUUUUCUUUUAUUAAUUUUUAUUUAAUUAGUUAAUUUAUAGCUGGGUGCAGAAUUUUGUUGGAAUGGCAUACAUUUAUAAUGUUAUUGGCCACACCUUCCUGCUAACUAUUGCUAUGUCUCCUAAUGUGCAUUCUCAGGAUGCCCAAUUUUAUGACAAUUAGGCCAUUUUCUGAAGUGAUGAUCUGUGCAGCUGUAGAUGCUGUCUAUUUUCUCCUCUAUAUGUACUAGAAGAUGAUAGAAAAAUUGAAUAAACAAUCCUUGUGGUACUUUGUGGUCCAUGGUACACUGUGUUGUCAAUGUUUCUGCAUCAAAUGUUAUGCAGAUUGGCCAUCUAUCCCCUCUUCUAUAUUCCAUGGUACACUGCUGCACAACUUCUGUGGUAUAAUGCCAUUUAAUAAUUCUUCUGUCCUAGGAGAGGAAAUACAAGUCUAGAAGCUAGAAAGUACUUGAUAUUAGUUCACAGAUGGCUAAUGAGAAAGUUAAAGUAAGCUUGUAAUUACAGGUAUCAUAUUUUACCAUUCCAGCUUGACUUGUCAUGUCAUAUCGUGAUGAUCAGAUGAAAAUGCUUUCAUUACGUGUCUCAUGAGAGCCAUUUUUUUCUUAUUCUUGGUUAAAAUAGAAAAAAAAAAGUGUCUAAGUUCUUGAGCCAAUUAAUGGUAAAACAGCAGGGUUACUCAAUGAAACAGUCACAUCAUCAUUCUUUAGUAUGGAAACUAUGCUGACACAUUUAUAUUGGAAAUAUUUGGAUUCUGUCUCACUCUCCAGCUGAUGUUAAAAAAAAAAUUGGUAUAAACCUUUGAAUAUUAUCAUCGAUAUCUAAUUAUCUAUAACCUGCUGUAUGUGGAGAAAAAUAAAUAGUUUACUCAUACCAAUAGUUUAGCAGGCUAUGCAUUUAUUGUCUUCCACUUACAUUCAUGAAUUCCAAGAUGAUGUGCAUUGGUGAAGGGUUUAGACUUGAUGACAUUGUCGACUGUUCUGCUAUUAGUGCCCAAGAAUGUUUUUAUUAAUUUGCUCAUAUAUAAGCAUGUUGGACAUAUUAAGCACUUGCAUAAAAAUUGGUAAGACAAUAGAAUGCCAGACAUUCUUCCUUUGCAGUUUCUGUGCCUUUAGUGGUCUCUGCAACAUGAUUCUCGCUCAAUAUCAACUUUGUUGCGGACAAAGGUUGAGCCAAAAAAUUUGCCUAGCUUUUGUGCGAUGUUUUUAUGUUGAGUGUUUUUGAAGAUUAUUAACUUUUAGUGCGUUAAGCAUGUCCCACUAAGAGAGCAUUCAUGGAAUAGCCAUAAACCGAAUAUUCCAAGCUCUGAUGUAGGCACAUAUUGAUGAUUUAUUUUCUUGAAUGUGGUGUCUAAAACCCUAAUUUGAUAUGCUGUGGCAUCAUGUUAGGUUUAUUGUCGUAGUGCAAAUGUGCAAUAUGACCUGAUCUUUGCCCAUUGUCAACAACACCCUCCAUAUGUUAAAAAAAUGUUAACUAGAUAUCUGGGUUGAUCUUUGCCCUUGAAAACUUGAUAAGAUAU